rnacentral:rRNA from 1 species
ACUCCUACGGGAGGCAGCAGUGGGGAAUAUUGCACAAUGGGCGCAAGCCUGAUGCAGCCAUGCCGCGUGUGUGAAGAAGGCCUUCGGUUGUAAAGCACUUUCAGUUGUGAGGAAGGUGGUGUCGUUAAUAGCGGCAUCAUUUGACGUUAGCAACAGAAGAAGCACCGGCUAACUCCGUGCCAGCAGCCGCGGUAAUACGGAGGGGUGCGAGCGUUAAUCGGAAUUACUGGGCGUAAAGCGCAUGCAGGUGGUUUGUUAAGUCAGAUGUGAAAGCCCGGGGCUCAACCUCGGAACUGCAUUUGAAACUGGCAGACUAGAGUACUGUAGAGGGGGUAGAAUUUCAGGUGUAGCGGUGAAAUGCGUAGAGAUCUGAAGG